GUUUACUAACAGCAGUCGCCCGGCAACCCGAGAGGCCGGCCUCGAACCCUGCCCGCUUAGGGAACUCACCUGCCAGGAAUUCUCCUUCCUCUGCCUGCCCGGGCAGGUUCUUCCCAUUUUAGUGCAACCCUCGGAACUUCCCGACCCGGAGAGUGGGCCGAGGUCUCCCGGCCGAGAGUCAGCGCCCUCUCGGGCUCCGCCCGGCCCGUUCCGCAGCCCCGGAGGCCUGGUCCAGGCUGGGGCGGGGCAGGGAGAGGGGCGGGAGGGGCCUGCUUCCACCCAGCCGCCGCCCCUGGAGUCACCCACCAAGAUGACAGUGCUGAAAAUAACUCGUGUCAACCAGGGGUGGUGACGGCGCCUUAGAUCUGCGGGUGACCCUGGCGGAGCGCCUGCCUGAUCUGCCUGCUGUGAAGACACUGGCGGUUCUUAAAAUUUUAAAAAGACGGGCGGUGCGAGGCGCCCCCAGACGCAGCUGCCGUGAGAGAGAGCCGGCCCAGCCCAGCCCGCGUCCGCCCUCCUGUGCUGGACGCGCAAGACUUAUAGGAGGAGGAAGUGGGAGUUUCACGUUUACUUUCUUUAAAAAAAGGAACGCUCUGGUGUUUCAUGUUUAGCAAGCACUUACUCCGACUUAAAAGAAUCUUCAUCAACUUCCAUCCCCCAA
ensembl:lncRNA